rnacentral:rRNA from 1 species
AGGACGAACGCUGGCGGCGUGCUUAACACAUGCAAGUCGAGCGGAAAGGCCCUUCGGGGUACUCGAGCGGCGAACGGGUGAGUAACACGUGAGUAACCUGCCCCUAGCUCUGGGAUAGCUCCGGGAAACCGGGAUUAAUACCAGAUACGACCACUUUAGACAUCUGUCGUGGUGGAAAGGAUUCCGGCUAGGGAUGGGCUCGCGGCCUAUCAGCUUGUUGGUGGGGUAACGGCCUACCAAGGCGACGACGGGUAGCCGGCCUGAGAGGGCGACCGGCCACACUGGGACUGAGACACGGCCCAGACUCCUACGGGAGGCAGCAGUGGGGAAUAUUGCGCAAUGGGCGAAAGCCUGACGCAGCGACGCCGCGUGGGGGAUGGAAGGCCUUCGGGUUGUAAACCCCUUUCAGCAGGGACGAAGCGAAAGUGACGGUACCUGCAGAAGAAGCGCCGGCUAACUACGUGCCAGCAGCCGC